rnacentral:misc_RNA from 1 species
UAUUAUUAUUAUUAUUAUUUGUUGUUUUUAGGAGGGACAAACAGCAAUAAAAGAGAAAUUAUUGCAUUGGCAAAUUCAUAGCUGAAUAAGUUAUCAUAUAAGGAAUCACAUCCAAUUUGGUAACAUAUGUGAGAGCGCAUAAGUGCAUUUGCAUGCUCAUGCACUCUUAAGACUUAAGAUAGAGAAGUCAUUAAUGCAUAAGGGCAAAAACAAAUAUAAAAAUCAAAGAAGACAAUAGUUUAAUGUCAAAUGGUUCUAAUAGUACCUGUAAGCGAGUCUUGAUAGUA